UACAGAGGGUGCGAGCGUUAAUCGGAAUUACUGGGCGUAAAGGGCGCGUAGGCGGCCUGCUAAGUCGAACGUGAAAUCCCCGAGCUCAACUCGGGAACUGCGUCCGAUACUGGCAGGCUUGAAUCCGGGAGAGGGAUGCGGAAUUCCAGGUGUAGCGGUGAAAUGCGUAGAUAUCUGGAGGAACACCGGUGGCGAAGGCGGCAUCCUGGACCGGCAUUGACGCUGAGGCGCGAAAGCCAGGGGAGCAAACGGG
rnacentral:rRNA from 1 species